CACUGCCCGGUAGCUAAAUGCGGAAGAGAUAAGUGCUGAAAGCAUCUAAGCACGAAACUUGCCCCGAGAUGAGUUCUCCCUGAGACUUUAAGUCUCCUGAAGGAACGUUAAAGACGAUGACGUUGAUAGGCCGGGUGUGUAAGCGCAGCGAUGCGUUGAGCUAACCGGUACUAAUGAACCGUGAGGCUUAACCUUACAACGCCGAAG
rnacentral:rRNA from 1 species